rnacentral:rRNA from 1 species
CUGUCCUACGGGAGGCAGCAGUGGGGAAUAUUGCACAAUGGGCGCAAGCCUGAUGCAGCGACGCCGCGUGCGGGAUGGAGGCCUUCGGGUCGUAAACCGCUUUUGUUCAAGGGCAAGGCACGGUCUUUGGCCGUGUUGAGUGGAUUGUUCGAAUAAGCACCGGCUAACUACGUGCCAGCAGCCGCGGUAAUACGUAGGGCGCAAGCGUUAUCCGGAUUUAUUGGGCGUAAAGGGCUCGUAGGCGGUUCGUCGCGUCCGGUGUGACAGCCCAUCGCGUAACGGUGGAUCCGCGCAGGGUGCGGGCG